rnacentral:rRNA from 1 species
CGUAGACCGCUGCGGCGUGCCUAAUACAUGCAAGUCGAGCGAAUGGAUUAAGAGCUUGCUCUUAUGAAGUUAGCGGCGGACGGGUGAGUAACACGUGGGUAACCUGCCCAUAAGACUGGGAUAACUCCGGGAAACCGGGGCUAAUACCGGAUAACAUUUUGAACCGCAUGGUUCGAAAUUGAAAGGCGGCUUCGGCUGUCACUUAUGGAUGGACCCGCGUCGCAUUAGCUAGUUGGUGAGGUAACGGCUCACCAAGGCAACGAUGCGUAGCCGACCUGAGAGGGUGAUCGGCCACACUGGGACUGAGACACGGCCCAGACUCCUACGGGAGGCAGCAGUAGGGAAUCUUCCGCAAUGGACGAAAGUCUGACGGAGCAACGCCGCGUGAGUGAUGAAGGCUUUCGGGUCGUAAAACUCUGUUGUUAGGGAAGAACAAGUGCUAGUUGAAUAAGCUGGCACCUUGACGGUACCUAACCAGAAAGCCACGGCUAACUACGUGCCAGCAGCCGCGGUAAUAA